UCCGGUUGAUCCCGCCGGAGGUCACUGCUAUUGGGGUUCGACUAAGCCAUGCGAGUCAAUAGUUCUUCGUGAACUAGGCGGACGGCUCAGUAACACGUGGGUAAUCUACCCUCAGGACAGGGAUAACCCCGGGAAACUGGGGAUAAUACCUGAUAGGGGGAGAGGUCUGGAAUGAUCCUCCUCUCAAAGCCUCGGCACCUGAGGAUGAGCCUGCGGCCGAUUAGGUUGUUGGCGGUGUAACGGACCACCAAGCCGAAGAUCGGUACGGGCACUGAGAGGUGGAGCCCGGAGAUGGGGGCUGAGAAACGGCCCCAGGCCCUACGGGGUGCAGCAGGCGCGAAAACUCCGCAAUACGCGAAAGCGUGACGGGGGGACCCCAAGUGUCAUGCCUUUGGGUAUGACUUUUGCAGAGUGUAAAAAGCUCUGCGAAUAAGAGCUGGGUAAGACCGGUGCCAGCCGCCGCGGUAACACCGGCAGCUCGAGUGGUGGCCGCUAUUAUUGGGCCUAAAGCGUCCGUAGCCGGCUCGGUAAGUCCUUGGGAAAAUCCGCUCGUUCAACGGACGGGACCCUGAGGAUACUGCCGAACUUGGGAACGAGAGAAGUCGGAAGUACUCCUGGGGUAGCGGUGAAAUGCUGUAAUCCUAGGGGGACUACCAGUGGCGAAGGCGUCCGACUAGAGCGGGUCCGACGGUGAGGGACGAAAGCCAGGGGAGCGAACGGGAUUAGAUACCCCGGUAGUCCUGGCCGUAAACGCUGUGGGCUAGGUGUUGCACGCUCUACGGGGGCGUGCAGUGCCGAAGAGAAGUUGAUAAGCCUACCGCCUGGGAAGUACCGUCGCAAGGCGGAAACUUAAAGGAAUUGGCGGGGGAGCACCACAAGGGGUGAAGUCUGCGGUUCAAUUGGAUUCAACGCCGGAAAUCUCACCGGGGGCGACGGCAGGAUGAAGGCCAAGCUAACGACUUUGCUGGACGAGCCGAGAGGAGGUGCAUGGCCGUCGUCAGCUCGUACCGUGAGGCGUCCUGUUAAGUCAGGCGACGAGCGAGGCCCGUGCCCUUAGUUGUCAGCGAAUCCCUGCGGGGAUGACGGUCACACUAGGGGGACCGCUUGCGACAAGCAAGAGGAAGGAGCGAGCGACGAUAGGUCAGUAUGCCCCGAAUCUCCCGGGCUACACGCGGACUGCAAUGGCCGGGACAAAAGGUCCCGACUUCGAAAGAAGGAGGAAAUCCUCAAACCCGGUCGUAGUUCGGAUUGAGGGCUGAAAUUCGCCCUCAUGAAGCCGGAAUCCCUAGUAAUCGCGUGUCAUUAUCGCGCGGUGAAUAUGUCCCUGCUCCUUGCACACACCGCCCGUCACACCACCCGAGUGAGGUCGAGGCAAGGCGCUGCUCUUUGGGUAGUGUCGAGUCUGGGUUUCGCAAGGGGGGUGAAGUCGUAACAAGGUAACCGU
rnacentral:rRNA from 1 species